rnacentral:rRNA from 1 species
UACAUGGGGUGCAAACGUUGCUCGGAAUUAUUGUGCGUAAAGCGCACGUAGGCGGUUUGUUAAGUCGGAUGUGAAAUCCCUCGGCUCAACUGAGGAAGUGCAUCCGAAACUGGCAAGCUUGAGUACGAAAGAGGAUCGCGGAAUUCCCGGUGUAGAGGUGAAAUUCGUAGAUAUCGGGAGGAACACCGGUGGCGAAGGCGGCGAUCUGGGUCGAUACUGACGCUGAGGUGCGAAAGCGUGGGGAGCAAACAGG